CCCUGGAAGUAAAAAAUCGUAACAAGGUUUCCGUAGGUGAACCUGCGGAAGGAUCAUUAUUGUACAAUCGAGGUGCAAAGGCUGUCGCUGACCCCUCAAGGGUGUUGUGCACGCCCGAGCGCUCUCGCCCAAUCCAUCUCACCUUUGUGCAUCACCGCGUGGGCCCCCCUUUGCGGGGAGGGCUUGCGUUUUCACAUAAAACUUGAUACGGUGUAGAAUGUUUUCUUUUGCGGUCGCACGCAAUCAAUACAACUUUCAACAACGGAUCUCUUGGCUCUCGCAUCGAUGAAGAACGCAGCGAAAUGCGAUACGUAAUGUGAAUUGCAGAAUUCAGUGAAUCAUYGAAUCUUUGAACGCACCUUGCGCCCCUUGGCAUUCCGAGGGGCACACCCGUUUGAGUGUCGUGAAAUCUUCAAAACCCUUUUUCUUCUUUGAUCCAUUUUUUUUUUGGUCGGGGAAAAGGAUUUUUGGACUUGGAGGUUUAAUGCUUGCCCUCUCUUUUGAAAGUGAGCUCCUCUCAAAUGAAUCAGUGGGGUCCGCUUUGCUGAUCCUUGACGUGAUAAGAAUGUUUCUACGUUUUGGGUUUAGCGCUGUCCCUCGGACAUCUGCUUCUAACUGUCUCAUUGAUGACACGAAAAGAAAAACCUUGACCUCAAAUCGGGUGAGACUACCCGCUGAACUUAAGCAUAUCAAUAAGCCGGAGGAAAA
rnacentral:sRNA from 1 species